UGGGGAAUAUUGCACAAUGGGNGAAACCCUGAUGCAGCCAUGCCGCGUGUGUGAAGAAGGCCUUCGGGUUGUAAAGCACUUUCAGCGAGGAGGAAAGGUUGAUGCCUAAUACGUAUCAACUGUGACGUUACUCGCAGAAGAAGCACCGGCUAACUCCGUG
rnacentral:rRNA from 1 species